UUGUGUGUAAGUUAUUAAGGGCACACGGUGGAUGCCUUGGCAUUAAGAGCCGAUGAAGGACGUGUGAAUCUGCGAUAAGCCUCGGGGAGCCGAUAACUGGGCGUUGAUCCGAGGAUUUCCGAAUGGGGAAACCUGGCUCAUCUUCAUGGUGAGUUACCGCCAGCUGAAUGUAUAGGCUGGUUGGGGGGAACGCGGGGAAGUGAAACAUCUCAGUACCCGCAGGAAGAGAAAAUAAAGUAAUGAUUCUGUGAGUAGUGGCGAGCGAAAGCGGAAGAGACUAAACCUGUGGUGUGUGAUACCGGUCGGGG
rnacentral:rRNA from 1 species